CACAGAGGUGGCAAGCGUUGUUCGGAAUUACUGGGCGUAAAGGGCGCGUAGGCGGCCUUCUUAGUCGGACGUGAAAUCCCCAGGCUUAACUUGGGAACUGCGUCCGAUACUGGGAGGCUUGAGUGCGGGAGAGGGAUGUGGAAUUCCAGGUGUAGCGGUGAAAUGCGUAGAUAUCUGGAGGAACACCGGUGGCGAAGGCGGCAUCCUGGACCGACACUGACGCUGAGGCGCGAAAGCUAGGGGAGCAAACGGG
rnacentral:rRNA from 1 species